UUCUCAUGUUUUUAGAUAAAAAUUGUGUUUGUUUCUUCCAAUAUGCCUCUCUAAUCUAUUUGUAAUGCAAGUUUUGAUUAUUUUCAUGCACCUAUGUUUUUACACUUCUUAUCAUUAAUUGGGCACUUUUAUUCCCAAAAUCACUUUGUUUGGUUUUUAUCUUAACAAUGCAAAAAUAGGGUGGAAAUAUAAUAAAUUUAUUCAGGCCCAGUGCUACCAGAAAGAAGAUGGCAACUUGGUUCUGGGAGUACAGAUCAAAUGUUGAUGUAACAGAGUGGGAAGACUUACCUUGGUAUAAAAACAGAUCCAGAUCUAAGAUGUCCUGUGCAGAACUAGGACUGGGACCAUAUUGAUUAAGGCAGAGAUUCUUAAACUGAAGCAAACAUUAAUACUUAAAAAUAAAACAAAAAAAGGAAAAGCUGUCCACAGAAGGUCCAGCUCAGAUAACAAUGUUCAGGAAUUUCAUAGAAGUUGUAGUGUGUCUGUCUGUUUCCUGGGUCCUUGUCCAAACCAGAGGGGAUUCUGGUAAUUUGAGUGCUCUGAACAUGCAAUUUCUUGAACACAUUUUCUUAAGGUGAAGACUUACUAGAAAUCUAGUAACCAAUACUCAGAACGUGAACACAGAGCAUUGUCUUCCAUAAGGACAGAGAAUACUUUGUAUAAUAUUCAUUCAGCAUAGACUGUUUCAUGUUUUUGUGUUGCCUAUGUCCUUGUCCUGCCCUUUUGAUCAAUGAUGAAAAACCAGACUGAUGCUGGGUUUGUGCCCUCUUUUUUUUUAAGACUGUUGAACUCUUAGAUUGCUCAGUCAAAACUCUCAAAUCAUUUUUAGUGUAGAUCAGAAAACAUGCAGGACACUUAUCCAAAAAUAAAAUGCCUGGAAAAAUUCAGGAGAGCCUGGCUUUCUCUAGGUUAUGAAGAGACAAAAAAAAUCCACAAAGAAUAAAUAUACCUUAUUGUGUCUGUUUUGAGUUUGGCUGCUUUAAAAAUACCAUAGCAUAUUGAUCCAAAAGAUCUUCAAUAUAGUUCUUGCAAAAUUUUAGGUGUAAGUUCAUACCAAACAAUUUAAUGUUCAUUACUACCCAUUAAUAAUUUAGAAUAUAGAAAUAGUAGAAAACUAUUGGCCUUGUAUAGGGGUAGAGUAGCAAAUUAGGUGUAGCUGUGCAGUGCAGCCAAGUCAGGCAAACAUGCAUGUAGAAUGUGUUCAUAUUAAUUAAAUCUUUUUCUAUUUUUUUUGCUUUUGCAAAAAAAUAAAUGCAAAAUUCUGCAGCUUUGCAUGUAUUUUCCCCUUUUUGAGUGUUUCAGUUUCAGACUUUUACCUUUAGUGGUGUUAAGGGUGUAGUAUGGGAUGAUGCUGCAGUCCUUACUCGUUUGAUUUCAAUGGAAGUUCUCCUUGAUGAGAAAUAUGUCAUCAGUUCUGUAACUGCCUUUCAAGGGAGGGACCCCGUUACUAUGUGUGAGCAUUCUUUUGUGCAUCAGUGGUGCUACAUAAAUAAUACAUCAUAAUGUUUGCUAUUAAAUUAUUCACAGAGUCAUAAGUCUCCCCUAUUCAGAAUUUCCUUUAUAUAGUUUAAAUAGGUUAAAGAAGUUGUUAUCAGAAAUAAUGUCUCAGUCUGUACCUACAGUGAGUCCAGAAAAUAUUUAAAAUAUUUUUUCAUUGUUUGAAAGUAAUCUGUUUUGAAGAACUUCUGUGCUUCAUUUUUGUAUGAACACUCUUCUUCAAGUACAGCAGACAGAAACUGAAGAUAACAUCUAAAUUUGAUGUCAACUACCACAUUUAUGUGAAAACUUUUAAGGAGUCUGAAAGUAAAGAUGCACUUCAAAUACAGCUUAAAAAAAUCUUCAAAUAAAGCCACACUCUAAAAAGUAGUACAAAUCCUUAUUUAUGUUUAUCAAAUUACUUGUAUCCAAACCAUGAUACUUGACUUAAGUUACUAUCUGUGAGUUAAGUUCUGGAAGUAUUUCCUCUAUAAUCUAUGUCUAGCUUGAAACCUGAUAGAAGAUAUGUUAUUUGAGAGAUGCUGUGUUUGACUGAAAAUACUAGGAAAUAAAUUGAAAAAUGUCCACCAGUACAUAUGCCAUAAUUUUGCCUCCGGAAUACUUUAUGGGAGACUCUUAAUCCUCAUGUUUUCCAAGUCAUGUAUUUUUAUGGUGAAUGCACAGAGCCAGAACUUAAAGAGAUCCAUGAACGUUAUAUUCUGGACACUUUUCAUUAGCUUACUUUCUUGAGAGUGUUGUAACUGCUAUCUAGAACAGUCUGUAUGAGUUGUUUUAUUGCCCAAAUAAUCCUGCAGGUGUUGUGCCAUUCUUAUUUUUAAUCUUUGUAUCAGCAGAGAAGGAAUGUCAAUACUGGAGUACUGGAGAAAAACCUGAACAUUUUGGUGACCUGUAAGGUCAUCUUAGUUCAUCUUUGUAGCUUAUUUCUUUGAAUUUUGAUAUUAUUAGCAGCUUUUUCAUGUGUUUUGUAAGAAAACACGUGGCUGUCAUCCUGCUACGUAACCAAGUAAAGACAGUGUUGAAAUUCUUUAGAAGCUGUGUGGUGCCAAAAGAACUGGGCUCCUACCAAUCUCUUUGUGUAGCACCAUUUCAUGUCAGCCUGCUGUUAGACUUCUGCCAACCUUUAGGAAAACAUUCUUUAUUUUGCUACAUGUUUAAGAAGUUCUUGUGAUUGAAAUAACUGUAAUUACCAAAUACUGAAGCCACAGUUAAUCAUUUGUCCACCAUCAAUAAGGAAGGGAGGUGCUGGUUAUCCUGAGUCCUAUAUCCACAAAAAAUCCAGUGAUACUUUAAAGCUGAUUUGCAGCUUCACUGCAGUUUCUGUCUAACACUGGAACUACAUACACGAGCUGAGUUGACAUGCAACACUCCUUGAGAUGAUUAUUGUAAUGUGGCUGCAAUCAAUGGGGUUUUUUCCAUAUUUAGUUGGAGUUUGUUUGGGGAUUCUUUCAGGAAUGUAGAAAUCUGCCUUAAGGGACAAACUUAGCCUAUGGAUUAUUAGACUAAACACAUUUUAAGUACAAAAUUUAUCUACAAUUAGCUUGACUGUUCAUAAUGAAAAGAUGGCUGAAACCACAGCCUUGUGAUUUGAUGUCUAUGGUAUGCACUGUGCAAGGUAAAACAUUAAUUCUAAAUAAAAUCAUUUUGUAAGCAGGUAUCUUCAGAUUACUUAAUUACUCAUAGUACUUUCCAAAAAUAUCUUUGGAGCCAUCCAGACUGUAUUUGUGAAACAGGAAGGAAUAAACAAUCCAGAAAAAGAGAAUGAACUCUUGAACAAAAACUAUGAUAAGCUGUGUUAGUGUCUUCUGUAUGACCCAUGAGCAGCAAUGGAAAUCAAAGGAACAGCAAAUGAAACUGCAAAUUGCUAAACUAGAGAUGGCUAUCAAAUCUGAUUUAGCAGACAAAAAUGCAAUCCUUGACAAGAUCAAAGUAGAAAGAGUGCUCAGUGACACCCCAGAAGAUGAGCAGAACUUGAAUGUGAAGAUACUGAUUUUGCUGAAUCUGUUUGAAAAAGAUAUUCCAGAAGCAAAGAAAUACCAUUGAACAAGUCAUUGGUGUGGUGAAGCUCAGGGAAGGAGCUGAGAGUAUCUUUGUGAUAAAGCAAUCCCUCUGUGGGUGCAUGAAGCAGCUCCACGCCUGGACACAUAAAGUAUCCUUUGCAGAGCAGGAAUUCCAGUUAGCCCUACUGGAAUUCCAGGCCAGUGUGACUUUGCUGCUUCUCUUGUUGGGGGUAAUUACUCAGCUAUGGGGAGCUGAGUAUUGAGAGAAAGAAAUAGGCUUUCUUACCAUUUCCAUUAUCAUGCAUGAUUUGCAUCCAUGCUGCAGCUAAAAUACUCAAAGAGUAUAAAUACUCAGAGUUCCAGGAACAUGAUAAGAGAAAUGCAAAGAAUCAAAUCUCCUCACCCUGGAAAAAUAAUACAUAGAUUUGGUGCACUUCAUAAUGUGGCUGAACACUUAAUCUUUUCUGCACGAAUAAUUUUUCUCCAAGUAGUUGUACAAAAGCACAUCUCCUCCAAAAAGGUAUUUUGUAGUCUUUCACUGGAAAAUUGUUUUUGUUCUGCAUUUUAAGACCAUAAUUUCCAUUGUCAUAAUUCCUAUUUGGUAAGAUUUAUUAGUUAUAUAUAUAUAAAAAUUUUUACCAUGUCACAAAACUCUUAAAAAUCCUAAUCAUCUGAGAGAAUUAUUAUGACAGGAAGGACUGUUUUUUUUUAUGAGUUAUUGUUCUGUCAAAAGCCAAUUAUUAUUAUUAUGUCAUGACAGCUACUUCAAUAUUGAGGAAUGUUUCUUCCCCUGAUCAUAAGACAUUUGAACUAAUUUUACUGCAUAUGCAUUGUAUCUAUUAAAGUGAUAGUAAUAGCUAAAAAUACUUUUAUUCUUUUUCUUAUCCACACUUCUGCCCUUUCCCUGCAGUUGCUAUGCAGUUUUGUUUUUCUGUUGAAUCCAUAACAUGUAACGCUGCAUAUUUUCUGAAAAUUUAGAAAUUUCACAGAAUUGAAAUGAAUUUUGCAUUAAUAUAUGUCAGAUCAUGGCAGAAGAGCACGUUACUGUAUUUUCUUGGACGAAUUUAUUGAAAAAGGAUCUUUUGUCAAGAUCCGGACAUCAACUUCAAUGAAAUGUUAAAUAGAUAAAUAGAAUUCCUGAGUAAUAUGUACAUUUUCUCUGAGAUGGAUAUUGUUUUGAGGGAAAAAGAAUAAACAUAGACAAGAAAAAUUCACAGAACACUACCACAUGAAGAUGUAGUCAUUCUCAGAUACCCUGAGCUUCAGUUACUCUAUUUGAGGACUGCAAGCAUCAUGGUUCUUUUUCAUAUCUUGUUCCUUUCAUUGCUGGUUGUGUGGAAGUGGCCUCCAUGAAAUUUGGCACAACUAAGUGCAUGACUAAGCAAGAGGAUGGAUGAAAAAGAGACUUUAAAGUCAAGACAUCUAACAUAAAAACAAUACUGUCCUCUGAAGUCUGCUCUGAAGUUGACAGUUCACUGAGUGAUUUGUUCAAGAAUUACAAAAUGCUUUGGAUCUCUAAGAAUAGCAUCCAACCUGUCCUAUAAUAGGUCUUUCAACAGGUUUGUGAUUCACAAGAUGACAGUGCAGUAAUUGGAAAGCUCAAAGGAGCACUGGAAGCUAUCCACGCGCUGCCCUCAGUCGAGAGGGGAACGCAAAGAUGACUGCGAGGCAUGAAAGGAAGUUUGCCACAGAAGAGCCUUCUCCCAGUGUAAAUACAUGCUUGAUAGUGCAUCAAAGAUGAGAUCUUUGUAAUUCCUACAGUAUAUUUAAUGUAUAAUUUAUAUGAAAAGGACGCUUGAUUUGCAGUUGUAAAGUUUUGUAUACUUUUCAGUCUGUUUGUUUUUAUAUUUCCCCCCUAAGGCUAAGAAUAUCUCCACAAUGGACAGCGUCUUGUAAAUAAUUAAUACCUACAUGAUUGAACGAUGUGCUUUAUUUGCAUUUUUAAGAUUUUUUCCUACAUAAAACAGUAAUAAAAAUGCAAGUCAAAAUUUUAAUUUUUAAUAAAAAAACCAUAAGCCUUAGAAAACUGAUUAAAAAUACUUUUAUGUUAUCCCUAAUCACCCCGUUAAAUGGAAUGCCUGUGAUUAGCCUCAUUAAGAAUUUUAUACUGUGAAGAUUUUAUUAAAAGCAAUAUAUGAAAAUUACUUGGAUUAAUGUGUUAAUCUGCCUCUUUAAAAUGCUAAUAUCCAUUUUAUGCACAUUAAAUCUCAGUAUGUGUUUUCUUUGA